rnacentral:rRNA from 1 species
AUUGAACGCUGGCGGCAUGCCUUACACAUGCAAGUCGAACGGUAACAGGUCUUCGGAUGCUGACGAGUGGCGAACGGGUGAGUAAUACAUCGGAACGUGCCUAGUAGUGGGGGAUAACUACUCAAAAGGGUGGCUAAUACCGCAUGAGAUCUACGGAUGAAGGCAGGGGAUCGCAAGACCUUGUGCUACUAGAGCGGCCGAUGGCAGAUUAGGUAGUUGGUGGGAUAAAAGCUUACCAAGCCGACGAUCUGGAGCUGGUCUGAGAGGCCGAUCAGCCACACUGGGACUGAGACACGGCCCAGACUCCUACGGGAGGCAGCAGUGGGGAAUUGUGGACAAUGGGCGCAAGACUGAUCCAGAAAUGCCGCGUGCAGGAUGAAGGCCUUCGGGUUGUAAACUGCUUUUGUACGGAACGAAAAGCCCCGGGUUAAUACCCUGGGGUCAUGACGGUACCGUAAGAAUAAGCACCGGCUAACUACGUGCCAGCAGCCGCCGUAA